rnacentral:lncRNA from 1 species
CCGGAAAGGGUGGAGCACAACGUCGAAAGCAGCCGUUGGGAGCCCAGGAGGCGGGGCGCCUGUGGGAGCCGUGGAGGGAACUUUCCCAGUCCCCGAGGCGGAUCCGGUGUUGCAUCCUUGGAGCGAGCUGAGAGCUCGAGAGACGGGGAUUUAGCUAUGUUGCCCAAGCUGGUCUGGAACUCCGGAGCUCAAGCAGUCCGCCCGCCUUGGCCCCCCAAAGCGCUGGAAUUACAGGCGUAAUGCACUGUGCCUGGCCUUUAAAAAAAAAUUGAGGUUAUUUUGGGGACAGUAGAGCGUCCAGACACAUCCUAAUUUGCAUAGCUGCGCAGUUUUAAAAAAUGCAAUGCAUUUUUACCUGUUAGGUACAGAACCUGCUAAGGCCAUCAAACCUAUUGAUCGGAAGUCAGUCCAUCAGAUUUGCUCUGGGCCGGUGGUACCGAGUCUAAGCACUGCGGUGAAGGAGUUAGUAGAAAACAGUCUGGAUGCUGGUGCCACUAAUAUUGAUCUAAAGCUUAAGGACUAUGGAGUGGAUCUCAUUGAAGUUUCAGGCAAUGGAUGUGGGGUAGAAGAAGAAAACUUCGAAGGCUUAACUCUGAAACAUCACACAUCUAAGAUUCAAGAGUUUGCCGACCUACCUCAGGUUGAAACUUUUGGCUUUCGGGGGGAAGCUCUGAGCUCACUUUGUGCACUGAGUGAUGUCACCAUUUCUACCUGCCAUGUAUCGGCGAAGGUUGGGACUCGACUGGUGUUUGAUCACUAUGGGAAAAUCAUCCAGAAAACCCCCUACCCCCACCCCAGAGGGAUGACAGUCAGUGUGAAGCAGUUAUUUUCUACGCUACCUGUGCACCAUAAAGAAUUUCAAAGGAAUAUUAAGAAGAAACGUGCCUGCUUCCCCUUCGCCUUCUGCCGUGAUUGUCAGUUUCCUGAGGCCUCCCCAGCCAUGCUUCCUGUACAGCCUGCAGAACUGACUCCUAGAAGUACCCCACCCCACCCCUGCUCCUUGGAGGACAACGUGAUCACUGUAUUCAGCUCUGUCAAGAAUGGUCCAGGUUCUUCUAGAUGAUCUGCACAAAUGGCUCCUCUCCUCCUUCCUGAUGUCUGCCAUUAGCACUGGAAUAAAGUUCCUGCUGAAAAUCCACA